rnacentral:lncRNA from 1 species
UCGACGCGUUCACAAGGACAGGAAGGGGGUUCUCCCACUUGAACCCCCUAAACUCACAAUUUGAUUCAUAUCAAAGGAGAAUCAAGAUAAGAAAUUGGGGCUUUAACUAAAAUCGUGAUCACCUAAGUUGGGAGAUCACAAGGAGCAAACCCUAGUUGAAAGUUUGAUGAUUCGGCAAGGUGGUUAAAUCUUCAAGCGGUA